GUGUCUGUAGCUCAGUAGAUAGAGCGCUUGUUUCCUAAGCAGGAGGUCGUAGGUUCGACCCCUACCUAACGCG
rnacentral:tRNA from 1 species